GAGGCCUUGGCUUAAUUAAAGUAUCUGUUUUGCAUGCAGGAGAUGUGGGAUAAUGACCCGCAGGUCUUA
rnacentral:tRNA from 1 species